UGGGGAAUUUUGGACAAUGGGCGCAAGCCUGAUCCAGCCAUGCCGCGUGCGGGAAGAAGGCCUUCGGGUUGUAAACCGCUUUGUCAGGGAAGAAAUCUUCUGAGUUAAUACCUCGGGAGGAUGACGGUACCUGAAGAAUAAGCACCGGCUAACUACGUGCCAGCAGCCGCGGUAAUACGUAGGGUGCAAGCGUUAAUCGGAAUUACUGGGCGUAAAGCGUGCGCAGGCGGUUUUGUAAGACAGAGGUGAAAUCCCCGGGCUCAACCUGGGAACUGCCUUUGUGACUGCAAGGCUUGAGUGCGGCAGAGGGGGAUGGAAUUCCGCGUGUAGCAGUGAAAUGCGUAGAUAUGCGGAGGAACACCGAUGGCGAACGGCAAUCCCCGUCGGGCCUGCACUGACGCUACAUGGCAACGAAAGCGUGGGGAGCAAAACCAGGAUUAGACUAACCCCUGGUAGUCCACGCCCUAAACGAUGGUGCAACUGGUUAGUUGGGAAGGUUCCUUCAUCAGUAACGUAGCUAACGCGGUGAAGUUGAA
rnacentral:rRNA from 1 species